AUGAACCUUUGAGGGUUGAGCUGGCGUUUAUUCGCAUGUGCUUGCCCUCUCAUCCUUUAUACACCUGUGCACUUUUGAAGGGGGACAUAGUAGACAUUCACUUGUCGAAGGUAUCCUCCCUUUACACUACAUACUCUAAUGAUUACUUUGAAUGUUUAAUAACGCUUAAACAGCAUUUAAUUA
rnacentral:misc_RNA from 1 species